rnacentral:tRNA from 2 species
GCUAGCGUAGCUCAGCGGUAGAGCUCCCGCCUUGUAAGCGGGUGGUCGUGGGUUCGAUUCCCACCGCUAGCU